AGAGUUUGAUCCUGGCUCAGAUUGAACGCUGGCGGCAGGCUUAACACAUGCAAGUCGAGCGGUAACAGUCCUUCGGGAGCUGACGAGCGGCGGACGGGUGAGUAACGCGUAGGAACCUGCCUGAUAGUGGGGGAUAGCCCGGCGAAAGCCGGAUUAAUACCGCAUACGCUCUACGGAGGAAAGGGGGCUUCGGCUCCCGCUAUCAGAUGGGCCUGCGUAGGAUUAGCUAGUUGGUAGGGUAAAGGCCUACCAAGGCGACGAUCCUUAGCUGGUCUGAGAGGAUGAUCAGCCACACUGGGACUGAGACACGGCCCAGACUCCUACGGGAGGCAGCAGUGGGGAAUAUUGGACAAUGGGGGAAACCCUGAUCCAGCCAUGCCGCGUGUGUGAAGAAGGCCUUAGGGUUGUAAAGCACUUUCAGUGGGGAGGAAGGCUUGAUGGUUAAUACCCAUCAGGAUGACGUACCCACAGAGAG
rnacentral:rRNA from 1 species